rnacentral:rRNA from 1 species
UACGUAGGUGACCAGCGUUGUCCGGAUUUACUGGGCGUAAAGAGCGCGCAGGCGGUCGUUCAAGUCGAGUGUGAAAGCCCCCGGCUCAACUGGGGAGGGUCAUUCGAUACUGAUGGACUGGAAGGCAGGAGAGGGAAGCGGAAUUCCCGGUGUAGUGGUGAAAUGCGUAGAUAUCGGGAGGAACACCAGUGGCGAAGGCGGCUUCCUGGCCUGUUCUUGACGCUGAGGCGCGAAAGCUAGGGGAGCAAACGGG